GUUGUUAUUUUUUUUUUAGUGCAGUCGUUUGAGGAUAUUUCUGAAAGAAUUAAUUAUGAACUUUUAUCCUAUAAAAUUCAGCCAAAUUUAAAUACCAAUAUACAAGAACACGAAGCCUCCUACAUGGCUAAUUCUUCUAUUUGCAUACAAAAUAACAGUAUUUUAGGAGAUGACCCUUUUUUUCCUGAAAUUUUCAUCUUUGAAAUCUGAAUUAUUAAGAAGUUCUGGGGUUUUGUUGUUGCUUUUUUAAAAUAAUUUAUAUUUUGUUUGACGGAAAAGUAUCACACAGAAAAAGGAAAGCAUUGUUUUUUAAUCUAGUUAAAUAUUGUAUCACUAUUUUAUAGUCCAUGAGGACAUUUUCUAUACUUCAAAUUUUCUCUUAAUUCAUAUACAUACAGGUGGAACAUUUGUUGCAUUUUGUUACUAUAAACAAUAUUUUUUUAAGGUCAUUUUCAGGUUCAGGAUAUCAAAUUUUAAUUGCAUGAUAAAUAUUCCAUUAGCCUCUCUCUGUAAUAUAACUUGAAUUUUAAACAGGUGAAAUGUUUUGAAAAUCUGAUAAAAUCUUUAAUACAUUAAGAUAUAUAUUAUUAAUUUGCAUAUUGCAUCAGAAGCGCAGAAAUGAAAUGAAAUGACUCGAAGAAAGUAAUUUAGCCUUUAAUUGGAAGUCACACAGCAGUAUGAUACACCUGAACGAUUUUGCUUAGUCAUUCCAUUAUGUUAAUAUCCCUGUGGAUUUCUCUUUUGUAAUUAUUAUUUUGAUAUAGCAUAUUAAAACAUUCAAAGGUCUUUCGUGUUUCAUUUCUUUUCUAAAACCCUUAAACAAAUAAACCAAUAAAGCUUUUCAGGAUAAACUAAAAUGACUGUAAAAUGUGUGAAAUACUAAUUACUUGUAAAUAUUUGUUUACAGACUUAAGUUCACUAUUUAGCACUUAUAUUUGAAUAUAGUGUGUAAUGAGAAUCAGUGAAUGCUAAUGCAGUUAAAAAAUCCGGAUAAACAACUAGUUAUACACAAAAAUGAAAACCAACUUUUUGCCCCUGAACUGAACAAAUCUAUUAGAGGGACUGAUUACAAAGAUAUAAGGACUUUAGUGAUAGGGAACAUUGUCAUAGUACAAAAAGGGGAUGUCUUAUGCAGCUGGUCUUACUAAAAUCAACCUUUUCUGUUGGGUCAUGAUAUAACCAGAGGUAAUAGGGUAAAUUUGUCUUAUUCUGGUUGGUGGUAGCUAGUGAUAAUGAUUUUACCAGUAGUAGUUGAACUGAAAUUACCUUCUGGUGGGCGGCCUCAGAUGAUGAUACUUUUGGUAAAAUUGUUUUUUAGUGGUGGUGGCCUCAGGUGAUGAUUGUUUGGGUAAAAUUUCCUUUUGUAGUGGGUGGCACUGAAAAUGAUAAUGCUAUUGGAGGUGAUAUAGGACAAAUUGUUCUUUUGUGCUCGGUGGCCUCUGAUGAUGUUGAUUUUAUUAGAUAUGAUUGAUAGAAAAAUUUCCUUUCCUUGUGGAGUGGCCUCUGGUAGUAAUGAUCUUAUUAGAUGUGAUGAGGAAAAAUUGUGUGUUCUCUUGGGAUAUUGUUACAAGAGAUUAUCAGGGUAAAACUGUCUUUCUCUGGUGAGUGGGUUUAUAUGGUUGUUUUGGUUAGUGGACCCUAAUGAGUAUCUUAUUAGAGGUGAAGGAGAUAAAUAGUUGUUUUGGUUAGUGGACCCUAAUGAGUAUCUUAUUAGAGGUGAAGGAGAUAAAUAGUUGUUUUGGUUAGUGGACCCUAAUGAGUAUCUUAUUAGAGGUGAAGGAGAUAAAUUGUUGUUUUGGUUAGUGGACCCUAAUGAGUUUCUUAUUAGAGGUGAAGGAGAUAAAUUGUUGUUUUGGUUAGUGGACCCUAAUGAGUAUCGUAUAAGAGGUGAAGGAGAUAAAUUGUUGUUUUGGUUAGUGGACCCUAAUGAGUUUCUUAUUAGAGGUGAAGGAGAUAAAUUGUUGUAUUGGUUAGGGGACCCUAAUGAGUAUCUUAUUAGAGGUGAAGGAGAUAAAUAGUUGUUUUGGUUAGUGGACCCUAAUGAGUAUCUUAUUAGAGGUGAAGGAGAUGAAUUGUUGUUUUGGUUAGUGGACCCUAAUGAGUAUCUUAUUAGAGGUGAAGGAGAUAAAUUGUUGUUUUGGUUAGUGGACCCUAAUGAGUUUCUUAUUAGAGGUGAAGGAGAUAAAUUGUUGUUUUGGUUAGUGGACCCUAAUGAGCAUCUUAUAAGAGGUGAAGGAGAUAAAUUGUUGUUUUGGUUAGUGGACCCUAAUGAGUUUCUUAUUAGAGGUGAAGGAGAUAAAUUGUUGUUUUGGUUAGUGGACCCUAAUGAGCAUCUUAUUAGAGAUGAAGGAGAUAAAUUGUUCUUUUGGUUUGUGGACCCUAAUUAGUAUCUUAUAAGAGGUGAAGGAGAUAAAUUGUUGUUUUGGUUAGUGGACCCUAAAGAGUUUCU